UCAAAAGUAUAACUGGUUAGCAGGCAGCCUUUCAUCAGGCCGCCUGUAUUGCUGGCCUUACCUGCUUUUUGAAAAGUCUGAGCCUUGGUCAAAAGGUGGGUGCAGUGACCUGAACAACAUAGAUAGUUCAGCUCAACAAAAACCAAAAGCAGAGCAUGCAAGAUGUUGCUUUAAAGAGGACACGAUGAGAGGGAAAGUUUCGUUAACAAGGGCAACUACAAUGAGCUUGCAGAGUCCCCUCCUGUUCCCUGAUUAAGAGGUGAUGUCUACUCAACUCCACUACCAUUGUCAACUUUCUCCUGACAUGAACUGAAGUCACGUGUCAUGUGCCCGCUCAUCCACUGGCACAUUGAAUGUUUCCCCUUCAAGCACUAAUCAGAGCGGGGGUGAUGACGUCCAGUGAUACUAGAGCCUGUGGGGGGAGACCAGACGGACGAGGCUCAGGAGAGCAGAGCAGGGUGAUAAUCCAUCAAAGGCAUCCCCAGAACUGCUUGUCCCCAACACACAUAUUUCUAUUACAAGCACAUGUGCACACAAAUGCUCACGUACAAGUGCAUGCACACACACACACACACACUUACUGUAUAUCCAAAACCAUCUGUGAACUUUAUUAGGGCCAAUCUACCAAGUGCAGCUGACAGGCAACAGUGCGCAGAUACUUGGUGAGCUAACCUCCGAGGAUCGUGGUAUGCCACCAGGGUUAAAGUGCUCUCUGUGUACCCACCGGCAUGUUAGUUCUACUUAUAAAUUGGGUGGUUCGAGCCCUGAAUGCUGAUUGGCUGACAGCUGUGGUAUACCAGAACUUAUACCACAGGUGUGACAAAACAUUUGAUUUUACUGUUGGUAACCAGUUUAUAAUAGCAAUAAGGCACCUCAGGGGUUUGUGGUAUAUGGCCAAUAUACCACGGCUAAGGGCUGUGUCCAGGCACUCCUCGUUGUGUUGUACAGAAGAACAGCCCUUAGCCAUAUUGGUUAUAUACACCACACCUCCUCGGGCCUAAUUGCUUAAUUAUGACACCAGCAGCAGUGGCAGCAACAACAACAUGAGAAACAGAAACAGAAGACAAUCCAUUCUGGUUGAAACCAUUAUACCAAGUACAUGAAUAGUCCCAACAGGACCUCAACAUAGAUCACUUUUGGAAGAAUCAAACAAGCAACAUACACUUCCUUUUCAGACCAGCAUUAAUCACAUAAGAAUUUCAUUCUCAUUCUGUUCAUUCCAUGAGAUUAAUAUUGUCAUCACAAGUCAGCAAUCAUAGUUAUCCAAUGAUCCGUCACCUCAGGACACUGGGUGAAAAAUGAUUGAGAGCAUUUAGAAUAGCAUGCAGUUGGCCACUGUGUAGAAGCCUUUGCUGCCUCUUCAAAGUGGCUAUUGUUAUGCUAUACUAUAGUACCCAAAAUGCUCAGUAGAUCCACUACAAAAUCAGUAUAGAUGAAGGGUAGGAAAUAAAAGUGU